rnacentral:rRNA from 1 species
AUUGAACGCUGGCGGCACGCUUUACACAUGCAAGUCGUACGGUAACAGGCCGCAAGGUGCUGACGAGUGGCGAACGGGUGAGUAAUGCAUCGGAACGUGCCCAGUCGUGGGGGAUAACGCAGCGAAAGCUGUGCUAAUACCGCAUACGAUCUAUGGAUGAAAGCGGGGGACCGUAAGGCCUCGCGCGAUUGGAGCGGCCGAUGUCAGAUUAGGUAGUUGGUGGGGUAAAGGCCUACCAAGCCGACGAUCUGUAGCUGGUCUGAGAGGACGACCAGCCACACUGGGACUGAGGCACGGCCCAGACUCCUACGGGAGGCAGCAGUGGGGAAUUUUGGACAAUGGGCGCAAGCCUGAUCCAGCAAUGCCGCGUGCAGGAAGAAGGCCUUCGGGUUGUAAACUGCUUUUGUACGGAACGAAACGGUCUGGGUUAAUACCCUGGGCUAAUGACGGUACCGUAAGAAUAAGCACCGGCUAACUACGUGCCAGCAGCCGCAGUAACAC